AAAAAAAGCUUUUUGUGGUAUAAGAUGGGCACGCGUUCCAUUAGUUAGUUGGUAGGGUAACGGCUUACCAAGGCUACGAUGGAUAGGGGUUCUGAGAGGAUACACCCCCACACUGGAACUGAGACACGGUCCAGACUCCUACGGGAGGCAGCAGUAAGGAAUAUUGGUCAAUGGAGGCAACUCUGAACCAGCCAUGCCGCGUGCAGGAAGACUGCCCUAUGGGUUGUAAACUGCUUUUAAUAGGGAGUAAUUAUAACUACGUGUAGUUAUUUGCAAGUACCUAUAGAAUAAGCAUCGGCUAACUCCGUGCCAGCAGCCGCGGUAAUACGGAGGAUGCAAGCGUUAUCCGGAUUUAUUGGGUUUAAAGGGUGCGCAGGCGGACUAAUCAGUCAGUGGUGAAAUCUACAUGCUCAACAUGUAACCUGCCAUUGAUACUGUUAGACUAGUAUACAAAUGACGUAGCUGGAAUGUGUUAUGUAGCGGUGAAAUGCAUAGAUAUAACACAGAACACCGAUCGUGAAGACAGGUUACGAAUUUGUUAUAGACGCUCAUGCACGAAAGCGUGGAACUCAAAAGGGCCUUUUUNCCCUUCUUCUCCNCNCUCUCAACCAUUAAAUGGGAGUUGUUGGGCAUUUAAUGUUCAGUGGCUAAGCGAAAGCGAUAAGUUAUCCACCUGGGGAGUACGAUCGCAAGGUGAAAACUCAAAGGAAUUGACGGGGGCCCGCACAAGCGGAGGAGCAUGUGGUUUAAUUCGACGAUACGCGAGGAACCUUACCCGGGUUUGAAUUGCUGAUGGCGGUAUUUGGAGACAGAUACUUCCCUUCGGGGCGUCAGUGAAGGUGCUGCAUGGUUGUCGUCAGCUCGUGCCGUGAGGUGUCGGCUUAAGUGCCAUAACGAGCGCAACCCUUGCCGUUAGUUGCCAUCGGGUCAUGCCGGGCACUCUAUUGGGACUGCCAUCGUAAGAUGUGAGGAAGGUGGGGAUGACGUCAAAUCAGCACGGCCCUUAUGUCCGGGGCGACACACGUGUUACAAUGGGGGGUACAGUGGGAGCUACCUGGCGACAGGUUGCGGAUCCCCAAAUCCUUUCUCAGUUCGGAUCGGAGUCUGUAACUCGACUCCGUGAAGUUGGAUUCGCUAGUAAUCGCGCAUCAGCCAUGGCGCGGUGAAUACGUUCCCGGGCCUUGCACACACCGCCCGUCAAG
rnacentral:rRNA from 1 species